rnacentral:tRNA from 1 species
GGGCGAUUAGCGCAGCGGUAGCGCACUUCCCUGACACGGAAGGGGUCACAGGUCCGAUUCCUGUAUCGCCCA